GACGAACGCUGGCGGCGUGCUUAACACAUGCAAGUCGAACGGAAAGGCCAUGCUUUUGUGGGGUGCUCGAGUGGCGAACGGGUGAGUAACACGUGAGUAUCCUGCCCUUGACUUUGGGAUAACUUCAGGAAACUGGGGCUCAUACCGGAUAGGAGCUCCUGCUGCAUGGUGGGGGUUGGAAAGUUUCGGCGGUUGGGGCUGGACUCGCGGCUUAUCAGCUUGUUGGUGGGGUAGUGGCUUACCAAGGCUUUGACGGGUAGCCGGUCUGAGAGGGGGACCGGCCACAUUGGGACUGAGAUACGGACCAGACUCCUACGGGAGGCAGCAGUGGAGAAUAUUGCACAAUGGGCGGAAGCCUGAUGCAACAACGCCGCGUUCGGGAUGACGGCCUUCGGGUUGUAAACCGCUUUCGCCUGUGACGAAGCGUGAGUGACGGUAAUGGGUAAAGAAGCACCGGCUAACUACGUG
rnacentral:rRNA from 1 species